rnacentral:lncRNA from 1 species
GGCGCCUCUGGUCCAUAACCUGUAGCACGCUUGAAUUGCCUUGGUGACUAAAAACACCGGCUUUUGGAAUUUAUCAGAACUGGUUCGAACCCAGUUUCACCACCUACAAACUGUAUGACCUUGGGAGAGAUACUGGACCUCACUACACGCAGUACCCUCAUCUGUAAUGCAGGGAUAGUUAACAAUAUUGACAGGAUUAAAUAAUGUAGGUAAAACCUUCUGGUACAUAGUAAGCACUCAAUAAAUGUAGUUGUUAUAUUGACACCCCAGCAUUACCACCUUGCCACAGGCAAGAAGACCCCCCCCCCCCCAGAGAGAGAAAGCCUACUACUUUAGGAGCACCGCAUUCCUUCAUUUGGGCGAUUGUGACUAGUGUUUCAGAAGUUCUAGCCUUUGAAGCCUCAAAGAACAAAUUAGUCUCUCUUGGACCUUGGACUUUGUCUGCCCAAGGUCUUCUCUUGGAGAUCAGUAUCUCCCACUCCUUUCAUUCUUCCUUCUUUGCCCUGAUCCUGAGGGUCUCUUCUCCUUCUACCCAUACACCUGGUCAAUUUGUGACUCCUUUAGAAUAUGUCACCCAAGACUGACAGUGUUUGUGGUGCCACUAGGACAAAGCACUAUCACUUCCUCCUUGUAGGACUUACUGACUUGAAUCAUGCAAUAAAGUUGUUGGCACCUGAUGGCCUCUGCCUGUAGUCCCAGCUACUUGGAAGACUGAGGCAGCAGGACUGCUUAAGCCCUGAAAUUUGAGGCCAAUCUGGGCAACAUAGAGAGACCCUGUCUGGAAAGAGAGAGAGAGAGAGAGAAAAGAAAACAGUUCUUGGCAUCCACACUAUUGACUCCUAUUUAAGCUUGAAGUCAGGGGAAAUACUGGGGAAUGAUAUUGGCCAAAUUAUAUUGUAACACAACCUCUACAUAUGAAUAUAUUGUAAUAUCACCUGCAUAUAUGAAUAUAUAACAACAUAUCCACCAGCAUCUAUAAUUAUAAUGCAACAACAAAAAAUAUGGGGAAAAAUAACUUUCAGUCAACUUAAACCACCAAGUUGUUUUUUUUGUUGUUGUUGUUUUGGUACUAGGGAUUGAGCCCAGGGAUGUUUUACCACUGAGUUAUAUCCCCAGGCCUUUUUAUAUUUUAUUUUGAAACAGGGUCUUAAAUUCCCAGGCUGGCCUCAAACAAACCUGCACUCCUCAUGCCUCAGCCUCCUGAGUAGUUCAGAUUACAGGCAGGCAUCACUACACCAGCCUUCCAGUCUUUCUACCGAGUACUCCACUCCAGCAUUUCUAUCUCCUCCUAUGUUUUUGAGCCAACUUCAUUCAAUUCAGGUCAGGGAUUUUGGCCUCUUACCUACUAGAUUUUUCAGGAUAUGGGAGAAAAGGGAAUGGAGAAGAUGGAAGUUAACUUAACACCAUCUUUAAACCAAAUUUAAAAGUCUUUUAAAAGGUCAGGGUUUGUAUCUAAAGAAAUACUGAGUUUGCUCAUGCACAGGCACACAUGCAAAGUGAUUUCAACUGGAAAAAAAAAGUGAACACAUACAAAAGAUUAAAAGAAAAUAUGUAACAGGAUAUUUUAACAAUGAUUUUCUUAUAAGUGCAGUGGCGUCAUGCUGGUAAUCCCAGCAGUUUGGGAGGCUGAGGCAGGAGGAGCACAAGUUCAAAGCAGCCUCCAAAAUUUAGAGAGGCCCUAAGCAACUUAAAAAGACCCUGUCUCAAAAAAAAUUUUGUUUGUUUGUUUUAAAGUCUGGGGAUGUGGCUUAAUGGUUAAAUGCCCCUGGGUUUAAUCCCUGGUACAAAAAAAAAGACUUACGAUGCUUUUUUCUUUACACUUUACCAUUAAUUUCUUAUACUGUGUUAUUUUUGUAAUCAAGAAUCCUAUUACCCAAAAAAUUCAGAGAAAAUAUAAUUAAAAUGUAAUCAGAGAGAUGGGCUGGGUAGGGUACUUGUGUAGCAUGUAUGAGGCCCUAGCUUCAAACCCCAACACAUACACAAACACACACACACAAAAAAAAAAAAAAUCAGAGAAAUGGGAAUAAGUUGAAAAAUUGGAAACAAAAUUAAAAGAUAACAGAAUAGCAGAAAAUAUUUGCAAUACAUAAAACAGACAAACCAUUUAUGUUCGUCUAUAAGAAAUAUAAGAAAAAGAAAACAAUAGGAAAGUGAGAUAAGAAUAUAGUUCAUAGAAAAAGAAGUACAAACUGCCAAAAAAAAAAAAAACACAAAAAGAUGCUCAAUCUCAUCAGUAAUUAUAGAAAUGGUAAAUAAAAUUGAGUCUGGCAAACAAUUUCAAGCUUUGUAACAUCAAACUAUAUAAACUGGCACAGCCAUUUCAGAGGACAAUAGAACACCUGCUAAGUCAGCAGUGUUGCCCCUGGUUAUCUACCAUAAUUCCAUGUGCACAUGAAGAUAUGUAUAGGCCAACCAAUAAAGAAAAUUUGGAAAUCAGCCUCAGUGCUCACCAACAGAGGAAUGGCUAAAUGAAAUGGAGAAUACUCAUAUAAUGGAAUUCUGUAGAGAACUUAAAUGACCUCAAUCUACGUGUAUCAACAUAGACAUUUUCAAUUUUGUAUUAUUGAAUGAAAAUAGCAAGUUGAAGAAUGAUAUAGUAUUGAUAUAUAUGGAAUACAGUAUCAAUAUUAUAUAUAUAUUCUUUUAAAUCCUUCCCCCAAAUGAAAAUUUUCAGGCUUAUCAAGAAAAACUAUC